GUUAGAUGAAAAAUAAUCUUAUAUUCAUAAUACAAAAGAGUACAGCAUGCUUCCCCUGAUGAUUGUACAAACUGGAAAAAGAUCCUUUUUUCAUUAGUCUCUAUCCAUUGAUUGAGCAUGAGAGAAAUGGUGACCACCACCAUCUGCAUGAUUAAUAAUAACAUCAAGGUUGGUUAAAAAUAAGUGAUAUUAGAACUGAUCACUCAGUUUAUUAUGAAAGGAAAAUCAUGAACCUAUUUUUAGCAAAAAAUAUGCUCAUUUACAUUUCAAACCCACAAAAUCUAUGGCCACACCAACAUUGCUGAAGUUAGUGGAAAGUGAUUUUCCACCAUUGAUAAUAAAAGCAAGUUUAGCAAUGUGAGUCAUUUUAUUUUCAUUACCUAUCUUCAUUUCAAUAUUAUUUAUUGUUAAAAUUUUGUAAAGAAAAAAAUGAAAAGAAAUAAAAGAAGAGAAAAGAAAACGAGAUUUCAAUCUUUUCACCUUUUUAUUUGUAAAAUUUUGAAAACAGAAAACAGUCAAAACACUGAAAAAUUAAACCGGAAAUUAAAUAUAAUUCCACUCCCCUUUACUUAUUUCACCUGUCCAAGUCAACAUGUAGAAGCUAACAAGUAAAAUCAUUAACAGUUCAGAUAAAACCAUACUAAGCAAACAUUUCUAUU